UUGGUGAGGACUGAGUUAUAAAUGUCCAGA
rnacentral:piRNA from 1 species